UACGAAGGGUGCAAGCGUUACUCGGAAUUACUGGGCGUAAAGCGUGCGUAGGUGGUGAGUUAAGUCUGUCGUGAAAGCCCCGGGCUCAACCUGGGAAUGGCGAUGGAUACUGGCUCGCUAGAGUGGGGUAGAGGAGAGUGGAAUUCCCGGUGUAGCAGUGAAAUGCGUAGAUAUCAAGUGGAACACCAGUGGCGAAGGCGAGUCCCUGGACAACUCCUGACACUGAGGCACGAAAGCUAGGGGAGCAAACAGG
rnacentral:rRNA from 1 species